GCCAGGCGUGGUGGCUCACGCCUGUAAUCCCAACACUUUGGGAGGCUGAGGCGGGUGGAUCACCUGAGGUCAGGAGUUCGAGACCAGCCUGGCCAACAUGGUGAAACCCCAUCUCUA
rnacentral:SRP_RNA from 1 species